GGGCAAGAUGGAUCUACGUGUUGAAAAAGCAGAAGAUUCGAGUGAUUCGAGUGAAAGAACUAUCAGCAAUAGUUCUAUGGGGAUCGCAUACUGUGGCAGCCAAGCCCAGGAUGACGACCUGGAAGCAGAUUCUGCUAUGGUAUUACCUGUUGUUGGAUUGAAGGAAGCAAGAUCUGACGGGCAUGGUUAUACCGAUGGCCUUCAGAUUGAUUCUGCCUCCCCUGCUGGGAGGGCUGUUGUCCGCUCUGAAUCUUUACCAGUGGCACAACCCAGAGACUACAUAGAUAUACCUCUCCCUCAGUGGCUGAAAGAUAUAGAUUCAGGAGCAGGGUUGUGGACGGCUGUUAUACAAUUUCGAAAAGAUGGGAAGAAGUAUGACAAUGUUAGUAUACUCAUGUUCGUCUGCGCUCUUUCCACUAAUAAUUUUGUUGUGUGUUAAUCCCUAGUCAUCUCAUAGCAUAUGGAGUGUUUACGUGACGAGCAUUCAGACCAAAUGAUGAAUUAAUUAGGUUCACAAACAUGUGUUUUGCUUGAGUUAUCUUAUAAUUUUUUGAUCUUUGGCAUCCAAAUAAUAGUCAGAAUAUGUUUCCGCACUAGUUUGUAUUUGGUUUUGCACAACGAUGCAUAUAUGUGAAACAAAUCAUAGGGCACACUGAUAUCAUUUUAUUAUAGAAUUCUCUUGUGUAGUGAGUGGUUAAAAUAAUUGACAUCUACUCGACUAAUCAUGGAACCUUUUACAAUCUGAUGCCGUAGUUUCAAAAACAUAAUGUCAACAUAAUACAUUAACUACAUGUAAUUCUUUGGUGUUCAACUAAACAAUUGAAUUGGUCAUAGUAUUUAACCCAGAAUUCAACCACUGUGACUCUGAUCUGUCCACACACUUUUGGAUGGUCACUUGUCCUAGCAUUUAACCAUAACUCAUAUGAACAUGCAACACAGAAAUAUAAUAAAGAAUUUUUUGUAUAGAAUGCUCGGUUGUCUGUUCUCACCACAACAUUUUUCCUUUUUAAUAUUCACAACGGAUUUUUUAUUACAACAGUAACUUUCACCUUCUGGAUGCUCUAUGCAAUUUUACACGUUAAAUCAUGUCUAUGUCAAAUUAACUAUAUCUUUUUUGCUCAUUUCAGUACUACUUUCACAAGGAAUAUAGGCACAAAUUCUGCUCUAAACUCAACGUUUUAGAGUUCCUAGAAGCAGGAACUGUAAAGGGGAGGCCGGUUAAGAAGGUGCCUAACUACUUGACAUCAAAACAUUUAGUAAUUGUACAAACAUGUAUACCAUUAAGUAUUUUUCAUGUAUAUUUUACAAGUGUAAAUUUCAUAUGGUACUCUACUUUUUGACAGAGAUCAGCUGAUACUUCUACGGACAAUCAUGGUAUGUGUAAUUUCACCGAUGCAUUUAUAAUAUUUGUCUAUUAUUAUUGUUCGGAAUACUCAAACUUAGGCUGCAAAUAAAAUCCAUAUCAUGGAAAGAUACAGACUUCUACAUGAACUCAACAUAAAAUAGUUAGUAGUGCAGUUACUCAACUUAAGUUAAUAUAUAAUUAACACUAUUUUAGAUUCUUUCAUGACAUGAUAAAAGAAAUUUUUUUAUAUAAAUGUUAGAUGGGAACCGCCUCAUGAUUGCAGUUACGUAGUUUUACGAUAAUAUUACAUAUUUAAUUUCAUAAAAUAUUUGUGUAUCAUCCCGUCUAGACGAACAAUCACGCUGGGGACAAGUUCAAGAAAUACUUCUGGUAAACAAAUAGUAAUUCUGUAUAACUCAUGGAUGAUGUAACUUGUUAGUGGUGUUAAAUACUUUGACACCCUUGAAAUAUUUUGUGCUAGCAUUAUUUUUUAAAUGAUUUCACAUAUAAAUGCAUAUAUCAAGAUAUCUAUCAUAUUAGUGUGAAAACAUCCUCCAGAGUCUUGCACAUAUGCAUUAUUCUUUGAUAUUUUUUGCAUCACAGUUACAUUUUACUAUAGCAAGAUGAAAAGUUUAUCUAUCCACAAUUUCAGCAGAUUAUAGACGGGCCACCAAAAGACAAAGGAUGACGGCACCAAUUUUAAGUAAGCUAUCUUGCAUACCACAUAGGUUUCUCUAAUUUUGAGAGGGUAUCACUUGUAAUGUUGUUCAAUAUUUCAAACUAGCUUCACCAUCAUGUAUGCUAGUAGUUAUUUUGAGAACAAUUUCAUGAAAAAAAUACAAAAAGUUAACAAACACUUAUAGUUCCUGAUGAUUCCUAGUUGCAUGAUCACAAAGAAUUACACACCUUCUCAGUGUAGAAGUUGUUAUCUCGAUAUGUAUCUACUAUAUGUUAUUAUCUGUGAUUAUUGGGUGAAGAAUAUUUGUUUCUCAUGGUUAGAGUUUAGACUUCUAUUAAUACAACAACAUGGAGAAAAAGCAAAAUACAGAUUAAAAUAGAUCAUCAAUUUAAUAUUAAAUAUUCUGAUUAGUUUGAAUGGAUGUGUUCUGCAAUUAUAAUACUUCUAUGUUCAUAAUACUUUAUCCAUAAAAUGCGCAGGUUCUAGUAUGUCGACAGGAGGACGAACAGCCCCAGCUUCUACAAAACUUCCACAUGGUUUUGUGUAAUUUCAUGUAGAUCGCAUUGAGACAUUUGAGAUUAUUUAUAGUGCCAAAUCUAUGUUGGGUACAAUGUGAUUUGAAAAAUAGUAUGUACUUUCGUAGUAUAUGUGAUACUUGGUUGUGGUUGUUGAGGAAUUUAUUUCAUUAGACUUGAAUAUUUAGCAUAAUUAUUUGAUUAAUGAGUACUUAUUUGAUAAAUGAGUACAUACCUUUAAUCCUAAAAACAUUAUCAGUCAGACAUCCAUUCAAGGAAGCUGUGUGAAUUGUCCCUCGUGAUUGCAGAUACUCAACUUAAGAUUUUCCAGUCCCUAGCCAAACCUAUUUUAGCCACUAUGAGUAGUAACAGACACAUUCUUAAUGCAUGGGCAGGCUAGUGCACCAACUUCAGUCACACAAUGUGGGAAACCCAUUCCUUAUCUCGCUUAGGAGAUGUAAUAACGCCAUCACACUAAUAGUACUUAGUUACUUGUAUCAAUGAUAUAUGUCCGUCCAUAGAUAAAGAAGCUAUGAUCAUAAUGUUGGAUUUAUAAUACUCUAAGAGCAUGUACAAGAGAAUCUAGUAAAAUUGAGCCCCCAAAUGUCCGCAGACGCGUCUAGUCACAUCUACAGACAGCACUCGGUCAGCCUGUAUUUUUAAUUCAUUGCAACACAAUACCAUUUCUAAAUACCCAUUUUCAUACAAUGGCAUGCACCAUCCACUUGAUCUACGUACAUAUAAACAAGGCCGAGAACUAGAAAACUUCGGAUAUGUCAAUGACCUCCUUGCCAGAGCCGCUGGCCCCAUGGUCAUUGACGGCAGGGUGAAGCGCCGGCGCCUCCUCGUCGUCUGCGAACUGCUGCUUGCGCUUCAGUCAGCCUUAUGGAUGAAGCCGCGAUUCACUGUCACCUUCUCCUCGGACCGGAUGGACUUGAGGAUGGCCUAGUACUCCGCCUCCUCCUCCUCUUGGGCAAGCAAUAUCAUCCAAUGUGUCCUCUAUGCAGAAUCCGGCCUCCUCCUACUCAUCUCACGGCUGCUCCUCCUCCUCCUCCUCCUCCUCAUUCUCCACCUAUUCAAUCUUGUCUGGAGCGUCCAUAUCCUCCUUCCGUACCUCCAACUCGUCUUGCUUCAGCAGGUGCUCAUCCAAACUUUCAGGCCACAGAGGAAGGCUUACCAGCCACAAUGCACGUGGUGCAGCGCUACUCCGUGGCAUGCAUCUCCGCCUGGAUCUCCACCGGGCACUACGGGUUCAACAUAUUGUAAUAUGUCACACUCAUGCGGACCAUGGCUGCAGCAGGACGACGAUGGUGGAGCGGUGCCAUAGAUGGAUUUUGCCAUGGGCCCCGCACUUCCGUCUGAUGUGGUGCACGCAUGCUGGCGCGUCCGGAUGUCCCAUUUGGAUUGUGUAUGGGAGGUGAGGCUCAGCCAGACGUUUGAGUUGGAUGUACGUGAACAGGUUUGGUGCCACUUUGAUGUAUGUGUAGUUAUUGUGCAGGCAGACCAGACGUUUGGGGAAUAUAUGAGGGCCGCGAUUGUAGAUUCUCUAAUAGCACGGCUGCAUACAUGCUCGCAGAAAUUAAACAACAUGAAUCAAGUCAAUUCUAUAAGCACAUAUAGCUUGUGACUAGUCAAACACCAUGACUAUAAGAACAUCAAAUAUGAAUCCUUUUCAUAUCUGUUUGUUUUAUGUUAAUCAUAAAGAUCGACGACCGAGAUUAAAAUAUAGAUCUGUCACGCCCAAUUGGGCAUGUCUUCUAUUAAAUUGGCCUCUAGGUCCCAUGACCUGGGCCUUCCUUUUCUUAUGUUGGCCCUCAGGCGCCCAAUCCUACAGAAUCAGUAUCGAUACACUGCCGGGGUCGACCCAUCUUCUCCAUUCUUGCCUUGCUGAUACCCUUCUUCCUCUCUACCAGGAGCUACAAAAAGUUCUCAAAAAAAAACAAACAGGAGCCGCAGCAGACCCAAUCUUCUUCCAUCCCGUGCUAACAGACAAAAUUUCUAUCGAGCCUAUCUCCUGAAAGUAAACGAACAAUGUUUCCAUCUAGACCCCCACCGUGUGAUUACCUUUGUUUUUAGAAAAGGAGGAAGACCUCCGGCCUCUGCAUCUGGGCGACCUUACAAAGUCUUUACAAAGUCAUACAACAAUAAGACUAAAGCCAUCGUCUAAGCAACAUCUGUCGCUACUCCUAUCCAGUUGAUGAAGGGACACUGAUAGUCUGGGCCUAAUACCAAACAGACCUCGCAGCCAAACCUAACAUCUAAGACCUGAGAUCCCAACCAGGACUCCUGCCGGGUAUGGGCACCCACCAGUCCGGUGUGCUCCUCAACCAGGACGCCUGCCGGGUAUGAGGCCGCCGCAGCCACCUGCCACCAAUCCAUCUUCAGAGCUGUACUGCUGCAUGUACCUUGCCUGGUCUAGCUGCCGCCUACGCCACCACGACGCCAGACAGCGUCGACCGCUUGCAUGAGUCCAUCAUCGCACAUCAGACGCUUAAUCUCCAGGGCGCCAUGCCAUCGAGAUACGAUACAAUCAAUGUGUAUGAUGAAGCACCGCUCCUCCUCUUGUCACCUCCAGCCAUCACUUGCUCCAAAACGAUUUCCCCAUGAGGGAAAGCGAUACUAAGAACGGCAUCAUCGUCCGAUCCGGGAGACCCAGAUCUAGGUUUCCCCUGGAGCAUCCCGAGCCUGAUGACGCCAACUGCAAGGACGAUGCCUCGACAAGGAAACGACAUCAAAGGCGCCGCCAUCGUCCGUCAUGACCAUAGUCGGCGUGAUUUUCAUUGGCACUUGCGCCACCGGGCAUACGCUGCCGGCCUCGCUCGUCCCUUCAACCGUAGCAAACUCCAAAACGAUGCAAAAGCAUCGCCAUCGCCCGGUCCCAUGGAGAUCUAGGGUUUCCCCGGAGUUGCCUGAGUUGUCAAGGACCAGACAAUGAUGGAAUCCCGCAGAUCCAUCCAGCUGUCGACGUGUCGCACUCGCCAUCGCGCCGACCGUGACUCGGAGACCAAGCUCAUGCCUGGGCCCAGAUCCGGCUGCGCCGCCGCCGAUCUAGUCACGCCGCCGCCGUCCCUGACAACCGUGGCGCCACAGAUCUUGAAACCGCCUGCCAGGGAUCACCGGAGUACCGCCAGCCUCCGCCGUGACGUCCGCCCGCACACCACGCUCCAGCUCGGGGGCGCCGGCCCGCGCUAGCUCCUCACAAGCGGGAGGGCACCUAGUCCCCGCCGCCGCCGGCGACGGCAAGGCUUUGCCUGGCGCCGCCCUCGUGCGGCGGCGAGGGAGGAGGGAGGCGAGAGGGGGAGUCGGGGCCGACGGGAUCUAGGGUCCUCCCAGCCGCCGCACAGGGACGACUCAGGAGAACAGGUGAGAAAAGGAUGAAUUACCACGAGAAUGUAUCUAUCUCUCUCUCUCUCUCUCUGUCUAUAUAUAUAUAUAUAUAUAUAUAUAUAUAUAUAUAUAUAUAUAUAUAUAUAUAUAUAUAUCAUGUGAUUGCCUACACAUCUAUCUAUAUAUAUUGAGGGAGGGAGAUCGUUUCAGAUAUAGAUUGUCAGCACUCCCACAGUGCCAAAACGGCGAACACAUACGUGAGAGAGUGGAGGUCGAGAUUGAAGAAGAACACAAGUGGUUUUGCGCUGUAAAACUUCACAGCUUUUCUGCUUCUUUCUUGCUUUUAUUUAUUCAGAGUUACACAAGGAAACUGGGGAUCGUGGCCCAUGACUUCGCGCCCGCGUGAUCCACAACGCUCGUGCCAUCCCAUGAACAGAUCGACAAGGCGCGAGACUCGCCCCAGGCUGUUGAACCCGCGAGCUAAACUAGCUAACAGAAAAACUGAACGGGAAAACUAGAGAAAAUGAACUAACUGAACUUCGACAGGGCUUAGGGUUUUAUUUCAACAAAUCACCCCCUAAAACCUAUGCCCUUGUCAAUUUCUACCAUGCCGAUCCUUGCACGCAGCUCCGUGAAGCGCACGCGCCCGAGAGCCUUGGUGAGAAGAUCGGCGAGCUGUCAGUCUGUCCCGACGAACUCCACCUCCACUUGCUUGUUCUCCACGCAUUCCCCUAUGAAGUGGAAGCGGACGUCAAUGUGUUUUCUUCGUUCAUGGAACACUGGAUUCUUCGCGAGGGAGAUGUCUGAUUUGUUAUCCAUCCAGAGCGGGAAGCAAGCUGGCCUCUCCUUCUUGAGCUCGCUGAGAAAAUGAGUGAGCCAAACUCCUUGGCAUGCUGCCGUCGUGGAGCUGAUGUACUCGGCCUAGCGGGACGACAGGGCCAUGAAUUUCUGCUUUAGAAACUGCCAGCUGAUGAUGCAGUUGCCGUAGAAGAACAUGGUGUCGGUCGUGCUCUGUCGUGUGUUGACGUCUCCUCCCAUGUCACUGUCGCUAUAGCCAGUGAGGUGACUAUCUCCUUUCCCUUUGGGUAGAAGCAGCCCCAAUGCAGUGUGGCGAUGUAGCGCAGGAUCUUCCUCACCGCAGCCAGGUGCUCGGUGGUGGGCGCCUCCAUGAAGCACGAGACGUAGCCGACGGCCAAAGAGAUAUAUGGCCUGGUAUGAACCAAGUAGCAUAGUCAUCCGACGAGGCCGUGGUACUCCAUCGCGUCUGUCAGAGGCGCGGUGCUCUGCUUGCUGAGCUUUAGUCUGGGCUCCAGGGGCACCGCGUACGGGUUGCACCCCGUCAUGCCGGCGCGCUCAAGGAUCUUCUCGGCGUAUGCCGUCUGGUUCAGAGAAGUACCAGUCGGCGUCUGCUGCACCUUGAUCCCUAAGUAGAAACUUAGGAGACCGAGAUCGCUCAUCUUGAAGAGCUUCAUUAUCUCCGCCUUGAACCGCACGAUCUCCCCGUCGUCAUUGCCGGUGAUGACCAGAUCAUCGACGUACACCCCCACAAGGAGGCGAGACGAGGCGUUGCCACGCCCGUAGAUGGCAUGCUCGGUGGUGCUGCGCUCGAAGCCGAGCGAGGCGAGGCAUGCGUCCAGCUUCUGGUUCCAAGCGCGCGGUGCCUGCUUCAGACCGUACAAGGCCUUAUCAAGAUGCAGUACCCUGCUCUCUUGUCUGGCAGCGACGUACCAAGGUAGUUGCGCGACGUAGACCUCCUCCUGGAGAUCCCCGUUGAGGAAGGCACUCUUUACGUCCAUGUGAUGCACGCCCCAACCCGCGCAUGCGGCUAGAGCGAGCAGGAGGCGUACUGACUCCAUGCGGGCAACAUGCGCGAACACCUCUUUGUAGUCCACACCCUGGUGCUGCACGAAGCCUUUGGCGACGAGGCGUGCCUUAUGCCGGACAACCGCGUCGUGGGCGUCGCGUUUUACCUUGUACACCCAUUUGAGACCAAUGGGACGAUGGCCGGGAGGGAGAUCGGCGAGGUGCCACUUGCAAUUCUCCUGGAUGGACGCCAUCUCCUCGUCCAUGGCGCGUCUCCAGGCUGCAUCUCCUUGUGCCUCAUCAUGAGAGGCCGACUCCUCUUCCAGCCCGAGGUGCAGCUCCUCGUGGUCAAGGACGUCGAGGUCGAGGAUGUAGUCCGUGAGCUGCUGGUUCGGCUGCACGAUGUUGUCCCGUGUGCGCGUUACCAUCGGGUGCACGCCCACGUGGUCAGCUGGUGGUGACACGAUCGGAGGCGAUGAGGCGCUCGUGCUGGGCGGAGACCGCGACCCGGAAGAGCUCUGCUCAGGAAAGAGAUCCCUCCGGUCUGUGCUCACGGGCAUGAACGGAGAGGACGCGUCGGCGCUCGCUGCGGCUGCAUCCCCACCGCCACUGGUGUGAGAGGGAGUGCCCAGUGUUGUCGGCGCGGUCUGUCGCACCCCCUCAAGCACUGCGGCAGGUCCGUACUCAAAAGUGAAAGUCGCGGCACCAGUAGAGUCCACCCCCUGAUGUCCCAGCUUGCUCGCUCGUCGAAGAUGACGUCGCGCGUGACGUGCACGCGCUUGGUGGAGGGGUCGUAUGCUCGGUAGGCCCUGCCGCCCGGCUCAUACCCGACGAAGACCAUGGGCUUGCUCCUGUCCGCCAGCUUCUGCACGUGUGGGAGCGUGUCCUUGACAUGAGCUACCCACCCAAAGAUGCGCAGGAAGUGUACAUUGGGCUUGCGGCCAUGCCACGCCUCGAAUGGUGUCUUCCCAAUCAGGCCCGUCGUGUAAGACCAGUUCAUCAGGAACACAGCAGUGGUGACAGCCUCUCCCCAGAAGAAAGUCGGCAUCCCCCUUGCCUUGUGCAUGCUACUCGCCAUGCCCACGAGGGUCAGGUUGCGGCGCUCCACCACUCUAUUUUGUUGCGGGGAGUAGGGCGCCGUCAGGUGUCUCUGCACGCCGUGGUCGGCGCAGUACUCCACAAACGCGGUGCUCAUGAACUCUCCUCCGCGACCCGUGCGGAACGUGCGCAGGGAGUGGCGCGACUCAGUGUCCGCGGCGGUCUUGAACCGGCAGAUCACCUCGGCCGCCUCGUCCUUGGAGUGCAGCAAGACGAGUCACGUGUAGCGGAUGUGGUCGUCCACCAGCAGAAGGAUGUAGCGCUUCCUGCCCGGCGUCGCCGGCGAGAUCAGCCCACAGAUGUCGCCGUGGACCAGCUCCACUGGCUCCGUCGCGCGGAACUUGGCGGCUUGGGGAAAUGAGGCCCGCCUCUGCUUGCCGGUAAGGCACGCCUCACAGAUCUACUCCGCGUGGAUGAUGAGGGGGAGCCCGGUGACCAUGCCGGCGCGCGCCAUCCUCUCGAGACCCUAGAAGUGAACGUGGCGGAACCUCUCAUGCCAGUGCCAGCCAGCACCGUCGCACUCACUCGCGGCGAGGCACGCCGACUUCACGAUCUUGAUGUGCAGAAUAUAGUCGCUUGGCCGUGCGGGUUACCUUGUCGAGGAGAUUCUUGUGCCGAUCGCGGACCGUCAUGGUGCCGUGCUCCACCAGCGUCGCACACCCGACCUCAUCUAGCUGGCCGAUGCUGAUGCUGAUGCUCUUGAGGCGAGGAAUCUAGUAGACGUUGGUUUGGCCACGGUGGUGACCGCCCGCCACGGCGAACAACACCGUGCCACGCCCACGUAUGUUCACCAGAGACCCGUCGCUAAACUUGACCAAUCCCGGCACAGACUCGUCCACGUCCGCGAACGCUGACGCGUCGCCGGUAAUGUGAUUCGACGCCCCGGUGUCCAGGUACCAGGCCGCGUCGGUGUGGCCAGGGGCUUGCCGCAGUUUGACGUGCGCGCGCUCCUCGUUGAGGAACACCUGCGCCGCCACGGUCGCGAGGGACGCCUGAGGCACAGCCAGGUUCAGCUCCGGUCCUGCUGCGCUCCCCUCAUGGAGGGUGCAAGCCCGGACCAUCAGGAGGCCCGGCUCCUCCUUGUCAGACUCGGCGAGGUUGGCCUCCUCAUCGCGCUUCUUCUUCUGGCACUCCCGGGCCCAGUGGCCCAGGUUGUUGCAGUAGCAGCACUUGUCAUUCUUGCGAGCGGCGCUGCCAGAAUGAUUCUAGUUUCCGCGCCCGCCUUGGCAGCGUCCACGGCCGCGCGAGCGUAUGCCACAGCCGCCCCCGCCGGCAUCUUGGUUGCUGCUGCCUCCAAUGGCUCCGGCCUGGUCGAUCUUCUGUUGGCGCGCCAUCCACUCCUCGUGAGUGAACAGCAGGCUGCUCCCGCCUUCGGCGACCCCUUCCAGCCCGUAGCGUUCCUCCGCCGCUUUCAGCCGGUCGGUGAGCACCUCGAUCAUGAGCUCCGACGGGUCAAGCAGCGUCUCUAUGGAGAGGGCCUCCUAUGCAUAGCUUGGCCGGAUGACCCAGAGAAAUUUCUCCACGCCCCUUUCUUCCUUCAGAUCAUCACCAAGAAGAGCUAGGUUAUUCAUCAUACCGGUGAGCCGAAUGGCAAACUCGUCGACGGUCUCCCCGUCCUUGAAACUGAGGUCGUCAAACUCGCAGCGGAGGGAUUGAGCCUUCGCCUUGCGCACGCGGUCGACUCUAAGACGGAUCGUCUUGAUGGAGUCCCCCGCCUCCUUCGUCGUGUCCUACACGGCGAGCGUCGCCAGCAUCUCCGGCGGAACGGCCCAGAGGAUUGCCUCCAGCGCUAGGCGAUCGUCAUGGUAAUCGGCGUCGUCGUCGACACACGCGCCGAACUCGAUGACGGUCCACAGGCCUCUCGCCUGUAGGAUUACCUUCAUCAGGAGCGACCACUCCACUUAGUUCGUCCUCAUCAGGGCGGGGUAGGAGGUGGAUCUAGUCACCUCGCGGAGCGGCCGUGGCAUCGCUAGCUCACGGUCGGACGGCCUCCCUGAGCCGUCGCCAAGCAGGGGCGUGGGCUUGCCGCCGCCGCUGCUGCCGGUCUCCUUCCCGUCCUUCUUCGCCUCGGCCCCGGGCUUCUCCGGCGAGGCGGAACGGGAGUGAUCUGGGUUGCUCUUUCCCAUGACCAAACGCGGCUCUGAUGCCAAUUGCCAACACUCCCAGAGUGCCAAAAUGGCGAACACACACGCGAGAGAGUGGAGCUCGAGAUAGACGAAGAACACAAGUGGUUUUGCGCGGUAAAACUUCACAGCUUUUCUGCUUCUUUCUUGCUUCUAUUUAUUCAGAGUUACAGAGGGAAACUGGGGAUCGUGGCCCCUGACUUCGCGCCCGCGUGAUCCACAACGCUCGUGCCAUCCCACGAACAGAUCGACGAGGCGCGAGACUCCCUCCAGUCUGUUGAACCAGCGAGCUAAACUAGCUAACAGAAAAACUGAACGGGAAAACUAACCUGACAGAAAACGAACUAACUGAACUUUGACAGGGCUUGGGGUUUUAUUUCAACAUAGACAGGGGAGACGAUUGAUGACCGGCGAGGAGCAGGAGACGCACGACGACAACGCAGUCAUGGAUAUCGGCAACGGCUUCUAUACUUUUGGCAUGCAAAUUGCGCCCCGCUUCGCUAUGGAACGCCGGUCGUGUGAGACGAUCGCUUAAAAACCCUUCCUAUCAAUGCCAAACUUUUUCUCAUUUUUUCCUUAAGAAAACAUUUAUAAAUUGUACAGACACAUGAUUUUUUUCAGAAGUAUAUAUACUGAAAUACUACAGUUCUUGCAAAGCUUGGCGUAGAAAACAUUCAUUCUUGAGCCCUGUACAGAAAUAAUAAAUUAAAUGCGCAAAAAGAAAUUCGUAUAGUUGCUCAUUCUAGCCUUUUUUAAGAAACACAAACUAAUAAAUUUUCUCAGGAAAAAUUGCAGGCGUGUAGUAAGCUACCAUGUGUGCAUAACAUAAUUUGUUCAUGAUUAUUUACAACUUUAGAAAUAAAAAAGGUUGUCAGUUCACUCGCAAAAAAAUUGUUUCGGUUUUUCUAAACUAAUAGAAGCAAGUGAACCCCGAAGUUGAAAAUCCAAAUCAGUAAAUUCAGAGACAAGUACAUGAACCUGUGCUCCUAGCGCAAGCAACAUUUACGGAUUUCAUGGUGAGCACUAUGUCAACUUGUUCGGCGUAGAUUAUGUCUUCUCCUUGGACGGCGAGGUUAGAGUUUCUCGUCAUGUAGCCAGAUUUGAUGUCAGGUGCUUCGAAUACACACGAAGGUUCAACAACAACGACUACGACUCCAUGGCACUGGCCAUUAGGGGUAUGUGUACGAAGAUUUCCUAGCUAGCGUCAACAAACACUGGUAGAAAAACCCCAAUUUGUGCCGGUUCGUGAGGGCCUUUAGUCCUAAUUCUGGAACCGGGACUAAAGGGUCGUCACUAAAGCCCCCCACCCCCUUUAGUCCCGGUUCUUAUACGAACCGAGACUAAAGGCCCUCCACGUGGCCGUUGUAUGAAGCACCACCGAAUUUUUUUAUUUUUAUGAAUUUUUUUACGAAAUUUUAUUUUUUGAAUUUUUUAGUUUAAUUUUUUUUUCGAUUUUCAAAUUUCUGAAUUCUUUAACCUCUAAUCUGUAAUCACCACUCAUCACUGCUUUCUUAACCUCUAAUCUCUAAACACCCCUCAUCAUUCCAAAUCAUCUAACUUCCUGGCCGGUCACCCGCCCUCUCACUACUCCAGCCUGAGCAUGCUUAACUUCCGUGUUCUAUUCCCCCUCAUUUCCAAGUCUGCACUUAUUGUUUUCCUGACAAUAGUAAGAUGCUAAUCCUAUUAAUCCUCAGGAGUUUAGCUUGAGCAUGAAGUCACAUGUUUUACUGUUUGAGUUUGAAAGUAUUAUUCUAAAAAACAAUAAUUAUUUAAUAACACUAAUAUUUCUUCACUAAUUAGUUUGACCAUAGUUUGACCAUAAUUUGACCACAGUUUGACCAGAUUUGACCAAAAUUCAAAAUACUGAAAAUAAUUAUUUAGUAACACUAAUAUUCUUGUAUAAUUAUUUAGUACCACUAAUACUUCUUUAAUAAGUAGUUUGACCAUAGUUUGACUAGAUUUAACCAAAAUUCAAAAACCUGAAAUUUCAGCAUAACUUUUUUCCCUUUUAGAAUUUGAGGAUUCUAAAAAUUUGCAAAGAGGCCUACGGCCGUCAAACCCGGAUGCGGAUUUUCGUUCUUAUUUUUUUGAUAUAUUAUGCGUUUUUUUCGACAUCGUAUGCAAAAGAUAUGGCCGUUUUACUUUUUCAUAACAUUUUUUUGCAAAACAUGUCCAAAUUUAAGUUUUUUUAAUUUUCCUAACUAAUAGAUGUAGUAACAUAACUACAUCUCAAAGGAUUUCAAUUUUUGAAGUUUUUAUCAUUUUCUUUUGCUUUUUAGAAAGCUGAAAAGGCGAUCCACCGGNNNNNNNNNNNNNNNNNNNNNNNNNNNNNNNNNNNNNNNNNNNNNNNNNNNNNNNNNNNNNNNNNNNNNNNNNNNNNNNNNNNNNNNNNNNNNNNNNNNNNNNNNNNNNNNNNNNNNNNNNNNNNNNNNNNNNNNNNNNNNNNNNNNNNNNNNNNNNNNNNNNNNNNNNNNNNNNNNNNNNNNNNNNNNNNNNNNNNNNNNNNNNNNNNNNNNNNNNNNNNNNNNNNNNNNNNNNNNNNNNNNNNNNNNNNNNNNNNNNNNNNNNNNNNNNNNNNNNNNNNNNNNNNNNNNNNNNNNNNNNNNNNNNNNNNNNNNNNNNNNNNNNNNNNNNNNNNNNNNNNNNNNNNNNNNNCUGUGUAUGCACGUGUGUGCGCGUGCGUGUGUGAAAUGUUAGCACUAAACACUAAAAAUCUAUUCAAAAUCAAAUAAUUAAUAUUCUACCUUCAAAUUUCUUCUUAGAAUCCUAGAUGGAAAUUUGUUUAUGAAUGUAUCAAUAUCAAGGUCAUUCAUAUGUUUUCCAAAUGCAUAAAGUUAUCAAACCAUUUGACCUCUCUUGGGACAUUUACAAACGUCACAUACUUUUUGCUCAACAUAUAGCUAUUUUAAAGAUGCACAUGCUACUUCCAGUAGGACAUUACUUAUCACGUAAGGCAGCAUACCUCAGCCAUCAUCAUCACAUCGAGUAUCUCCAUAUACAUGUCGUCCUUCAUAAGAAUUUUUGUUCGGUGAUGAAGCAUUAGAACCAUCUUCUAAGCCCUAGAGCUAACACAAACAAUGAGUUAAGUUUAUUAAACUAAAAAGAAAACAGUUUAACAGAAGAUUCUGUACUUUACUUGAUAUCAUCUGCAGAUCCAUAAGCAAUAUUUUCAGUGAAAUUUGAUUCUAGAGAUCUAAGUUCAAAUCUUCUAUAGCAUAGGAACCACACGAAUGCCUUUGAGAUAGAGCUUUUGCAGCAUCACUACAAACCGAUAAAAUUGAUCGCCGAUUUAAUACAAUAGGUAGAUGAGUUCAUAAAGAUUUCGACGAACCUUCAGAGGUUAAUCCUGCUUUAGUAGACAUCAUCCCAUGGUCCUAAUUUUCCUAACCAAAUAGUAACAUCAUAGUUCCUAUGUUUGAAUGCCAAAAGAAAAUCCUGCUCCUGGUGACUAUUUUUCCCAUCUGGAGCAAAGAAAGCGAGUAAUCUCAAAAUCCAUACAAAACUCAUAAGAUUCGAUAAAAAAAUGUGCAAAAUGAUUCUUAUCAAAGCCUCAUGAUGGCUAAACCGGCGUGGUCCUCCUACAUCCAUGUGCAUCAUGGCAUCAACGACGAUUGCCCUGCCAGGAUUGCAGAGUGAAGUUUGGCGUCGGCGGUGGGCAUCCACGAUGAAGAAAAAAGGGGCCUAGGGCGUCUUUUUAGAUCAACUAGGGCAUUGUCAGCUAACCUUUUUCUGUUUUUUUUAUUGAAGGGCAAUUGUGCGCUACCUGCAGGUGGGUAUUUCACCAUGUGUCCGGCGAGAACCAAUAACUCGGGUUAUGUUCGCUGCUAGGCCCCUGUGAUUGCAAGGAAGUAAAAAUAAUGACGUAAUAAUCACGUGGUCGUCGUUUGCUGCAUCGUGACUGCAUGCAGAUUAUCUGAACCGCGUCCUGAUCGGAGGGGCCCCCUGGACUUGGCGGGCGCCCCCCCCCCCCCCCAGGGUUGGGCGUAGAUGGUGUGUCUAGCGUCAUCGGAGAGCGUGUGGAGGUGUAUUUCUACUUGUGAGUUGCGUUGGGAUUUCCUCGAAGAGGAGGGGAUGAUGCAUUAUAGUACAGAUAAUUAUUUCCCUUAGUUAUGAAACCAAGGUUAUCAAUCCAGUAUGAGAACCAAGCAACACUAUGUAAACAAUACCUGCACACGAAUAACAAAUACUCGCAACCCAAUGCGUAGAGGGAUUGUUAAUCCCUCAACGGUAUUGACAUAGAUUAAAUUGUAUAUGAUUUGAAAAAUAGAUCUAACUAAAAUACAGAAUAAAAUAAAUAAAAGAAAAUUCCUGCAAGGUAUUUUUAAGUGUUUUAUAUGAUAAAAGAUAGGCCUAGGGAGCAUAGUUUUCACUAGAGGUUUCUCUUGAGAAAAUAACAUACGGUAGGUAAACAAAUUACUGUUGGGCAAUUGACAGUAAAGCAGAUAAUUAUGACGAUAUCCAAGGCGAUGAUCAUGUAUAUAGGCAUCACGUCCAAGAUUAAUAGACCGAAACGAUUCUGCAUCUACUACUAUUACUUCAUACAUCAAACGCUAUCGAGCAUGCAUCUACUGUAUUAUGUUCAUGAAAAAAUGGAGUAAUGCAUUAGGCAAGAUGACAUAAUGUAGACAAGAAAAAAUCACAUAUGAAUAGACCCCAUCUUGUUACCCUUAAUUGCAACGAUACAUGCGUGCCAUGUCUCUUUCUGCCAGUGAGAUUGAGCACCGCAAGAUCGAACCCAUCACAAAGCACCACUUCCCAUGGCAAGAAAAAUCAAUCUAGUUGGCCAAACCAAACCAAUUUUUCAGAGAAGAAAUACGAGGCUAUAACAAUCAUGCAUAAAAGAAUUCAGAGAAAACUCAAAUAGAUCUCCAACUAGAUCUGAUCAUAAACUCACAAUUCAUCGGAUCUCGAAACACACACCGCAAAAAGUCAUUACAUCAAAUAGAUCUCCAAGAACAUCAUCGAGAAUAUUGUAUUGAAGAUCAAAAAGAGAGAAGAAUCCAUCUAGCUACUAACUACGACCCGUAGGUCUGUGGUAAACUACUCACGCAUUUAUCGGAGGGGCAACAAGGAUGAUGAAGAAGCCCUCUAUGAUUGUUGCCCCCUCCGGUAUCUCGUGGUACCGGAACUUGUAGCGGCGAAAAAAGUAUUUCUCGACUCCCCUAGGGUUUUGGGGAUUUUAGAGUAUUUAUAGAGGCAUAGGUAGGUCAAGACGGUGCCCAUGGGCCCCACUACCCACUAGGGCGCGCUAGAGGCCCCUGGAGCCCCCUGGUGCCUAGUGGGCCCCACGAGCGUCUUCUCAUGGCCUCCAGAAGCUUCAAAGGUCUCUUCUUGCCAGAAAAAAUUAUGCAAAAAAUUUCGUGGCAUUUGGACUUCUUUUGGUAUUGAUAUUCUACAAAGUAAAAAAACAAGCAAAAAACAGCAACUGGAACUAGGCACUAGCACUAAGUUGAUAUAAAGUUGCUACUAAAUGUAUAUGAAACAUCAAAUAUUAAUAAUAUAAUUGCAUGGAACAAUAAAAAAUUAUAGAUACGUUGGAGACGUAUCAUGUGUCUCUGUCAUAUCUCACAGGAUUCGAUCAGUGUUGGUCUUCGAUGAAUCUGUUUGGAUCCGGUCUUCGUUCGUCUUUGUGGUGUUUAUUGGAUUGAUCCUUUCGAUCUACGACUUUCUUCAUCGGUGGUGCUUGCUGCUUCGGUGCGCUGGUCCUAUGGGUCGGCACGACGACUUCCUUCCUGUCUACUACAACAAGUUUUGCCCGGCUCCAGCGAGGGAGGGGUGAUGAUGGCGACGCGUGGCUCGCUCUGGUGCUUGUAGUCACUGCUAGGUGGUCCACAGACCUGGUUGUAAUUUUUCUUAUCUCUGUUGUUCUUUCUACUGCCAUGAUUAAAGAUGAAUAGGUUGGAAGUUUCUCACGCAAAAAAAUAACAAUAUAAAUAACUACUUUAGAAAAAUUCAUAAGAGAUCUUUUUGAGCAAGUAAUAAAUUUUGACACCAAUUCUAUGGUAGUAAUUAAUCUUUCCCCUAAUAAUAUCCACAUUGGAUCCAGGUUUUAUACUGUGUAUACAUACAGGAGUAUGUUUAGAUAAUUGUGUGAACAAAUUGAUAUAUCCUAGCAAAACUAUUUUUCGCAACAAGUAAUUAAUGAAUUAAUAUGUGCUAGCUAUACUUUGCUGGUGAAAACAUGUUGUAUUAGUUGUACAAAGCAUGGAAUACGGUUUCAAUAGCUUUUAUAUUCCUGGGCAGAACACAAUUUUGGAUAUAAGUUUUAUGUUUGUGUACACACUCCCAUCUUUUUCCUCCCAUAUCAGCAGGAAAAUUUACUGCCAAGCAUCUCACCAUUCUACACUUCAGAAACCAGGUUUGCUUUAAUCUACCAUCCUUCAAUGUUUGCCCCUAAUCUUGUUUUUGCGUCCUCAUCUUAUUGACCUUGUAAUUAGUAGUUAGGGCAAGAUCGAAACGGAUCUAUGAGCAAAACACCAUCCACACCUGCUGAUAAAAUCACAGUGAGACAAGCGGCACCAUAUCAUGAAAUAGGAGCAAAUUGUGAGGGUUAAUGAGGAUCCUGUAUGGUGGUAGCUGAUACGUCUCCAAGAUAUCUAUAAUUUUUGAUUGUUCCAUGCUAUCAUAUUAUCUAUGUUGCAUGUUCUGUAUGCAUUAAUAUGCUGUUUUAUAAUGUUUUUGGGACUAAGCUAUUAACCUAGAGCCCAGUGUCAAUUUUUGUUUUUUCCUUGUUUUUGACUUUUAUUGAAAAGGAAUAUCGAACAGAGUCCAAACGGAAUGAAACUUUACGAUGAUUUUUCAUGGACCAGAAGACACCCAGAAGAUUUGGAGAGAUGUCCAUAGGAGUCUCGAGGAGGCCACAAGGCCUCGUGGCGCGCCCCAGGGGGGCGCCCCUGGCUUGUGGGCCCCUCAGGAGUCCCCUAACCCUAGUUCCUGUUGAGAAACGUAUCAUGCAAUUUCAAAAAAAUUCCUACACUGACGCAAGAUCUAUCUAGGAGACGCAUAGCAACGAGAGGGGGAGAGUAUGUCUACGUACCCUUGUAGACCGAAAGCGGAAGCAUUUGACAACGUGGUUGAUGUAGUCGAACUUCUUCUCGUUCCGACCGAUCAAGCAUCGAACGUACGACACCUCCAAGUUCUGCACACGCUCAACUCCAUGACGUUCGUCGAACUCUUGAUCCAACAAAGUGUCAGAGAAGUAGAUGAGUUCCAUCAUCACGAAGACAUGGUGACGGUGAUGGUGAAGUGAUCCGCACAGGGCUUUUCCUAAGCACUAUGAAGAUAUGACCGGAGGCGUAAUCUAGGGGGGCGCCACACACAGCUAACAAUUGUNNNNNNNNNNNNNNNNNNNNNNNNNNNNNNNNNNNNNNNNNNNNNNNNNNNNNNNNNNNNNNNNNNNNNNNNNNNNNNNNNNNNNNNNNNNNNNNNNNNNNNNNNNNNNNNNNNNNNNNNNNNNNNNNNNNNNNNNNNNNNNNNNNNNNNNNNNNNNNNNNNNNNNNNNNNNNNNNNNNNNNNNNNNNNNNNNNNNNNNNNNNNNNNNNNNNNNNNNNNNNNNNNNNNNNNNNNNNNNNNNNNNNNNNNNNNNNNNNNNNNNNNNNNNNNNNNNNNNNNNNNNNNNNNNNNNNNNNNNNNNNNNNNNNNNNNNNNNNNNNNNNNNNNNNNNNNNNNNNNNNNNNNNNNNNNNNNNNNNNNNNNNNNNNNNNNNNNNNNNNNNNNGGGGAGGAGAGGUAGCCAAGGGAGGGCCCCAAGUAGGAGGAUUCCUACUUGGGGUCCUCCCAAUUCGGCCUCCCUCCUUUCCUAUUCCUAUUCGGAGUAGGAGGGGAAGAGGGGAAAGGGGGAAUCCUAUUCCCUUUUUCCUUUCCUCCUUUCCCUUUCCUUCUGCAAUUUGGCCAGCCCAUAUGGGGAGGGGGGGUGCACCGGCCCCUUUGUGGCUGUUGUGUUUCCCCUCUUGGCCCAUAAGGCCCAUAUCUUUUUCCGAGGGUGCACGGAACCCCUUCCGAUGACCCGAUAAGUACCCGGUGCAUCCCAAAACACUUCUGUUGUUCGAAUACUAUCGUCCUAUAUAUAAAUAUUUACCUCUCAACCAUUUAGAGACUCCUCGUCAUGUCUGUGAUCUCAUCCGGGACUUCGAACAACAAUCGGUCAGCAAAUCACAUAACUCAUAUAAUACAAUAUCGUCGUUGAACGUUAAGCAGGCGGACCCUACGGGUUCAAGAACUAUGUAGACAUGACCGAGACAACUCUCCGGUCAAUAACCAAUUGCGGAACCUGGAUGCUCAUAUUCGCUCCUACAUAUUCUACGAAGAUCUUUAUCGGUCGAACCGUUAUGACAACAUCGUUAUUUCCAUCGUUAUGACAACAUCGGUAUGUUACUUGCCCGAGAUUCAAUCGUCAGUAUCUUCAUACCUAGAUCAAUCUCGUUACUAGCAAGUAUCUUUACUCGUUCCAUAAUACAUCAUCCUGCAGCUAACUCAUUAGUCACUUUUCUUGCAAGGCUUCUUAUGAUGUGUAUUACCAUGAGGGCCCAGAGAUACCUCUCCGAUACUCGAAGUGACAAAUCCUAAUCUCGUUAUAUGCCAACCCAACAAACACCUUCGGAGAUACCUGUAGAGCAUCUUUAUAAUCACCCAGUUACGUUGUGACGUUUGAUAGCACACAAGGCAUUCCUCCUGUAUCCAGGAGUUGCAUAAUCUCAUAGUCGAAGGAAUAUGUAUUUGACAUGAAGAAAGCAAUAGCAAUAAAAUUGAACGAUAAAUAUGCUAUGCUAACGGAUGGGUCUUGUCCAUCACAUCAUUCUCCUAAUGAUGUGAUCAUGUUCGUCAAAUGACAACACAUGUCUAUGGUUAGGAAACUUAACCAUCUUUGAUUAAUGAGCUAGUCUAAUAGAGGCUUACUAGGGACACUGUGUUUUGUCUAUGUAUCCACACAUGUAUCAAGUUUCCGGUUAAUACAAUUCUAGCAUGAAUAAUAAACAUUUAUCAUGAUAUAAGAAAAUAUAAAAUAACAAAUUAUUAUUGCCUCUAGGGCAUAUUUCCUUCAGUUCCACCUUCAUAAAUUAUCAAAUAUUCCCCAAACAUUAGAAGCGUCCACCAAAUUACUUUUCCACAGCCGCAAGCUUCUGUUAUCGCAAGAUCUCAACUUGGGGUAUUUUUCGGCACUCUGCCGGAGGGGGAUUCAAUCAUGGAGGGCCUCUAUAUCAACCUUGCUGCCCUUCCGAUGAAGCGUGAGUAGUUUACCACAGACCUAAGGGUCCAUAGCUAGUAGCUAGAUGGCUUCUUCUCAUUCUUUGAUCUUCAAUACAAUGUUCUCCUCGAUGUUCUUGGAGUUCUAUCCGAUGUAAUCUUAUUUUGCGGUGCGUUUGUUGAGAUUCGAUGAAUUGUUAUGGUCAGGUUAUCUAUGAAUAUUAUUUGAGUCUUCUCUGAACUCUUUUAUGCAUGAUUAAGAUAUCUUUGUAUUUCUCUUCAAAGUAUCGGUUUGGUUUGGCCAACUAGAUUGAUUUUUCUUGCAAUGGAAGAGGUGCUUAGUUUUAGGUUCAAUCUUGUGGUGUCCUCAUCCAGUGACAGAAGGGGUAGCGAGGCAUGUAUUGCCUUGUUGCCAUCAAGGAUAAAAAGAUGGGUUUUAUGUCAUAUUGCUUGAGUUUAUCCCUCUACAUAUUGUCAUCUUACUUAAAGCGUUACUCCGUUCUUAUGAACUUAAUACUCUAGAUGCAUGCAUGAGUCCGUCUAUGUGUGGACUAAUAGUAGUAGAUGCAGAAUCGUUUUGGUCUACUUGUCACGGACGUGAUGGCUAUGUUCAUGAUCAUUGCCUUAGAUAUCGUCAUAACCAUGUGUGUUUUCUAUCAAAUGCUCAACAUUAAUUUGUUUACCCAUCGUAUGUUUAAUUUCAAGAGAGAAGCCUCUAGUGAAACCUAUGGCCCCGGGGUCUAUUUUCAGAUCUAUAAAUCAAAAAACCCAAAAAUACCUUGCUGCAAUUUAUUUAUAUUUUCUUUAGUUCGCCUUUAUAUUUAUCUUUUAUACCUAUCUCUAUUAGAUCUCACUCUUGUUCGUGACCGUGAAGGGAUUGACAACCCCUUUUUCGCGUUGUGUGCAAGUGUUUGUUAGUUUGUGCGGCUGCAUAUAUUGGAGACUUGCUUGUGCCUCCUACUGGAUUGAUACCUUGGUUCUUAACCGAGGGAAAUACUUAUCUCUACUUUGUUGCCUCACCCAUUCCUCUUCAAGGGGAAAAUUAACGCAAGCUCAAGAAGUAGCAGUAGCCGAAACCAGGAUGGCAACCUGGAAGGAGAAUCUGCUAUGGUAUUGCCUGUUGUAGGAGAGAGGACUACAAUGAUAUCUACUGGUCAUGGUUAUAUACGCAGCUUGGAAAUUGAUUCUGCCUCUCGUACUUAGAGGCCUGCUGCCAGGUCAAAUUUUGUUCUAGUGGCACCGCGCCGAGACUGCAUACAGAUUUAUCCUGGGUAGCUGGAGUAAAUUGAGGCAGGCAAAAGGAUGUGGACAGCUCUCAAAUAAUUUUGAGCAGAUGGGAAGCAUGAAGAGGUUAGUAUAUACUCAUGUUCUGGUCUGGUCUAUCAUCAGAUAAUUUUCAUUCUGUGUUAAUUAUCAGUUAUCAUAAGGAGAGUUUGCUUGAUGAGCAUUCAUACCAAAUGAUGAACUAAUUAGAUCCUAGGUUCUCCAAAAGAUAACAUUGUUUGCUUCAGUUACCUGAUAGAUUUUCAGCCUUUGCGUCAAAAUGAUUUUAUGCAUUUGUUUUCACACUACCUUGUAUUUUCUUUAAUCAUAACCAUGCAUACAUGUGAAAUCAGUUAACAUCUCAAUUUCCCCAUGUGCUAUUGUAUGACUGUGGAGGUUUUUUUUAACAUGCUCCCUCUUACCUCCCCUUUUCACAUGAGAUGUAAGAGUAUAAAAUAAAUCUAAGUCGUUGAUUUCAUUAGGUAGUGAACUUGAAUAAAUAUUAACUUCUUAACUCCCAUGUGAAAAUAUGGGGUAAGAGGGAGCAUGUUAAAAUUGCUCAAGAAUGCGGGCACAGCCACAGGAGCGCUGCCUAUUCUAUUAACGGAACGAAUCCAUUAGAUUUCUCUUACAGAAAUUCAUAACUGCCAUUGUUGUUGCUGAAACUAGGUGGUGCUGCCACUAGUGGCGAAGUUUGAGCAUAAUCCAAGAGGGCCAUUACCUGAUGGGGAGCGAAUUAGUAGCAAAGGAGGGGCUAAUCUCUAGUUUAAACGCUUGUUAGGCUUAAAAAAUUGUAUAUUCUUUUAUGGAUGCAAAAAUUAAGGGGGGGCAUGGCCUCCGUUGGUCUACAUGAAGCUCUGCCACUGGUUGCCACACAUUCUACAGUGUUGUUACAGCCAUUGACAGAAUCUUGUUUUUGCACAAUAUCCAAAUGGUCUAACAGUGACAAGACACCAAUUUGUCAGGAUCUCGACUUUUGGCCUUCUGCUAGGAUGCACUAAUGAAACUGAUAGGUUUCGCCAUUCCUGGAUGUGUGAACGUUACUGGACUAGAAUAGAUUAUUCUGGAGAAGGAUAUGGCAGCGUGACAAACCUAAACCACGAUCAUGCAACGAAUGGAAUGUGGUCAAGAAUGGCAUUCUCUCCGCGGGUGCACACAAGAGAGCAUACAAAUAGGGUCUGCAUGGACGACCAAAACACAUGGCAUCUUUUUGAGAAACUAACCCAUCCUUUUUUCUUUGAUCUACUCAAAUUGGUUUCAAGUUAUUGUAGAAGUUUCUUGUAGUGACUGGUUAAAAUAAUUCACACCUGUUCAUCUAUUCAUGCUAUGUUUUACAAUUUAAUCCCGUAAUAUACACGAUGAAUAUCCAUUUUUCCUAAAAUACUGCAUGUACCUCUAAUUCUUUGGCAUUCAACUAUACAAUUGAAUCUAUACUACUAUUAAAAGAGCAAACAUAAACUCUCCUAAACUCACACAACAAACUGUACACAAAACAAUCAGAACCCUCUGAUUAAAUCAACUUAAGCUUAUCGUACUGCCCACAUUACAUCAAUAGUUUGUGAUCCAAAUCAACGAUUCAGAUCAAAUGUUCUGCCUGGCAGACGUCGUGGUCUACCAAUCCUUUUACCGCUCCACGUCCCCAACUCCAGGCAGCCCCGCCUGCAAUACACGGAUUCGGAUCCAUUCCACCCGCCUCUGUGGUUCCCGAGCUCCCAUCCCGCCUCUCUCUCUCCUCCUCGCUACAGGACGCCACCGGGGGACGGCCUGCAUCGGCGGCACCGGGGUCGCUCUCCUCCCUCGAGCAGCGUCGGUGGCGCGGGAGGUAGCAGGCUCAGACAGCAUCGCCAGCGCCAGUGUCCCUCUCCUGCGUUGAGUGGCGGCAACGGCGCGGGAUGCAGCGCACUCGACCUGCGUUGUCAGCGGGCGGCGGCGAGGGACGCAUCGGGCUCGACCUGCGUCGGCGACGGCAGUGUCCAUCUACUCCCUCAGACAUCAGCAGGCUCGCGCUCCACGAUUUAUUCAACUCCGUGCGGCGAUUCAUCAACUUCCGCACCAGAGGCGCCGCCGCGGAGCACUCCGCUGGGACUCUUGGCGGGAUUGGCGUCCGGAUCAUCUCCUGCCUCCACAAGGGGGAUGGGGUUGCUCGGGCUCAUUUCCAAGAGCCCCUCGCCGCCGCGCUGCCCGCUGCCGCUCACGCCCAUGCCUGUCAACGGGAGCGGACGAGUAGGAGAGAUCCCGCCGAUCCGAUGGCGGAAGGGCGAGAUGAUCGGCUCCGGUACGUUCGGGAAGGUCUACGCCGGGAUAAAUUUGGACACCAGCGAGGUCCUCCGAGUAAAGCAGGUACUGGGAUUUAGGGAUUUGGUUUUCUGGUUUGUACUGUGUGAAGACUUGGAGUCAUUCAUUACACUAAGUCUCUCCUUUGUUUGAUUUUGGUUCCAGUUUUGAUCGGGAGCACCAACGCGACCUAGGAGAAAGCCCAAGUGUGUAGCACUUCCUAGCCGACUUGGUUACCAAUUUAGUUCUUCAGAUUUUUCUUCAUGUGAGGUGAUUUGUGGCUUUUGUUUUUACUGUUAGGCGCAUAUAAGAGAACUCGAGGAAGAAGUGAAGCUCCUCAAGAACCUUUCUCACCACAAUAUUGCAGUGAAUAGAUAAAUUUCGAUUACAUAUCAGAUUCUUUAUUUAAUUUGCAGCCUGUACUUGCUUAAUCCAUUUUCUGUCGUUUCAGAAGUGGUACCUUUGGGACUGUCCGUGACGAAGACACACUGAAUAUUUUGCUAGAUUUUGUUCCCCGCCCACUGCAUGCUGCCGUCCGGCUCUCACCACUCCGACCUGAAUGCCUCUGUCGAGAACUCCUCUGCUACCUCCUCCCAAUCUCCGCCACAAGAUUCUCCCGUCCAGGUAGUGUACAGUCUGUCUCAAGAUUCUAUUAGCAUGUCUACAAUUAGCUUGUUUAAUUCCAUACACGCUUUGCUCCGUGUGCGUACAAUAGGAUUGUAUAUCAUAGAUGGAUUGAACAACAUACAUGUAUGUAGAAUUAUUAGCAUGUGACAAGACAUUUAGAAUUUGAUUGCCUGUUUUGUGCACUAUGUUGGAAUAUGUUCAUUACAGAUCCUGCGCAAGGAGUAAAGAAAUUAGUUCUUAAAGCUUCUCCGUCAUGCCGGAAGGACAACUGUAGCCGGCAUCGUCGCCGUCGCUUAUGGAGCUCCACACCAUUUCCCAGUUGUACGAGAGCAUGUUCAAUCUUCUCCAUUCAAGACUAUGCAACUGGUGAACUCUGCCAAACAAGAAUAUAUGAUAAUUAGGCAUAUAUGCCCCGUAAGGUAGCUAUAUAGUAAUUCAUUUGUUGUAGUGGGGAUUACGGUCACACUCUGUUUUGGAUUGUAGAUAGCUAGGUCAACAAAAAUGGAUAUUCUGAAUAUUUUCUGAUUUUUUAGUAAGGGCUUCAUCUAUAAGGUAUGGAGUAAUUCUGAUUUGGUGCAGAUUAAUUCUUCACAUGCUAGAAUGUGGAGAGACGGUGGGCUCUAAGGCCAUGUCGAUGUUGUUGCGCUUGCAGCUUGAGAUGUACUUGAUCCAAACGGUCAUCAUUGUUUUGAAGGGUGAGUAGACGAUGCUCUGAUAUAAACCUGCACUGAUUUUCACAAUCUUGGCAUCCGAUACAUGUCUACUGAAUUUCAAUUAAAUUUUGUUUCAAAAAAUUUAAAAAUUGCAUCAUAAAGGAGAUGUUAACCAGUGAUUUGACAUGAUAAGAUGUUAGUGAAGUAUGGCUAACUAUGACAUUAGCAAAACUUUUAUUUGCAUUUAUUCAUAUAUACUUUGCAUUUUAGAAACGUGCACCAUAAUGGAGCUCCACACCAUUGUACAGUUGUACGAGACCAUGUUCAAUCUUCUCCAUUCAAGACUAUGCAAAUGGUGAACUCUGCCAAACAAGACGGUAUGACGAUUAGGCUUAUAUGCCCCGUAAGGUAGCUAUAUAGUAAUUCACUUGUUGUAGUGUGGAUUAGGGUCGCACUCUGUUUUGGAUUUUAGAUAGCUAGUUCAACAAAAAUGGUUAUUCCGAAUAUUUUCUGAUUUUUUAGUAAGGGCUUCAUCUAUAAGGUAUGGAGUAGUUCUGAUUUGGUGCAGAUUAAUUCUUCACAUGCAGGAAUGUGGAGAGACGGUGGGCUCUAAGGCCAUGUCAAUGUUGUUGCGCUUGCAGCUUGAGAUGUGCUUGAUCCUUCUUCACUGCUAUUUUUCCUAAGCAACUUUGCAUGGAAUUAGGAUCACUUGAUAAGAUUCUGAUAUGUUUUUCAAAUUUCCUUCCUUUAUGCAUGAAUCUAUCAUCAAGAUCAUUUAUAUGGUACCUGUAUGCUGCUGUAGAUUUGUUGGUGUUGAUUUGUUGUAAGAGGAAAUGUGAUAUUGUUCUCAUCAUUUUCUUUCAUAGCAUGUGCAAUGCGUUACAACAUCAGUUUCAUUGGUUUCGAAAAUGUGAUAAACAUGUGACUAUUCUUGCUUGUCGUAUUUGUUUAUGUGUUUUGCACAGCUCCUUCUGCUUUUUUGCAGCAAGGCUUACGUGGAUCAUAUCUUUCCUAUCACACUGAUUUCAUCGUGAAAAAUGUAGGAAUCUGGAGGAGACUCAGGGUCUUGGAUAGCAAACAAUACUGCCCAAAAAUAGGUAUUCUACAUAAUGUGGAGGGGUAGACAUGUUGUCUUCUUGAUUUUUUUUUCAUUUUCUUGCUGUCGAAGUACUUGUACUUGUGAUUUCAUGAUGUUAUGUGAAACAUUAAAGGAUGCCUUGGAACGACGAAGUUCCCAAUCUUCAUGGUAGAUGAUAGGACACUGCUUGCUGAAGUUGCUCAUUGCCUCGCAUAAAAGGAUGGAAUCUCCUUAUUUUUUGCUAUGUUUUGCACAUGUUGAAUAUGAUGCCAUUGCUCUGAACAUUAUAUUUGUGUUGAUAAAAAAGGACAUGAUUUGGUAUGCCCUCCCUGUAGAGGUUCUAGCUUGGUCAGUUGACUUGGUGUUGUUGAGAUGACCCAAGCCACCAGCAAUUUGAGCUUGCCCCCAUGAUGUGUGUGAUUAUAUUUAGGUCGACAAAAUCCUCCUGUGAUAAGCCCAAAAAGAAAAUUUGGCAUGAAGCGGGAGGUAGACCGUUGGUAACGCACAAAAAUAAAAUCUGGCAUGAUGCGAGAGGUAGAGCGUUGGUGGCGCCCAAAAAGAGGAUUUGGCGUGACGCAGGAGGUAGAGCAUUGCGUGCGGCAGGAAAGAUACAAACUUGUUCAAAAAUUCAAACCGUCUGGAUGGCAAUUGCAAGAUGACGAUCGGAUGGUGUGGACACAUUUUAGACCAAUUGUUGUUAAAACAUAACAUGUUAUUGUGACAACUAUUAUGAACAAAAGUUUGAUUUAAAUAAUCAAAAUAUUGAAGAAAUUUCUAAACUUAUGUGCGUUGCACGUGCACGCUUACUAGUNNNNNNNNNNNNNNNNNNNNNNNNNNNNNNNNNNNNNNNNNNNNNNNNNNNNNNNNNNNNNNNNNNNNNNNNNNNNNNNNNNNNNNNNNNNNNNNNNNNNNNNNNNNNNNNNNNNNNNNNNNNNNNNNNNNNNNNNNNNNNNNNNNNNNNNNNNNNNNNNNNNNNNNNNNNNNNNNNNNNNNNNNNNNNNNNNNNNNNNNNNNNNNNNNNNNNNNNNNNNNNNNNNNNNNNNNNNNNNNNNNNNNNNNNNNCCGAUAUGAGUUUGAUCUAAAGCACUCCACGAGCCCAUCCCAGCACUCGAGCGAGCUGUCCCGCUCGCCAUGCCCUAUAUCGCCGCCACCGACGUUCUCCCCUCCCCUCAUUUUGCGCCUCCCCCUCCAGGCACCAAGCCACCUCCAGAACCGUGCCUCAAGUCCUCGCCGCUCCUCUUCCUCCUAAAUACAUAUGCCCAGGGUAGGGGAGGAGCGAGGGCAUGCUUAGACCGGCGGCGAGGCGAUAUGCCAGGACGAGCCUCACACGUUGUGGCCUAUUCACACGUGCUGGCCGGAAUGAGUCCACUGUGUCGGCGGAUCAAUAUGGGUCUUGGCGGUGGUGGCAGGCAUCGGCGGAUCGGAGUACGUGGUCUGAAGCUGCGGUUCUUCGGCUAAGACGAGGAGGUGGACAUCUUGGCUCUGCAGUUGACGGAGGGCUUCCUCACUCCUCUUUCCCUGUCUUAUAUUCUUUCCCAUGAAGGUCACAUAAUCCCUCUAAUUUGUACUUCUUGCUUCAUAAUUCAUUUUUUGAACUGGAUGAAAUAAGAUGAUUAUACUUUUGGUUAUUUUGGACAAUGAUGUCUUCUUGCAGAUCUCUGAAAUGGGAAAAGUAAUAUUUCGUCAUCUCCCUUUGGUCUGCAUGGACGUGCACUUAGUUUAAGGUUUCUCGAUCCAACGGAAGGGAAACAACUUGAAUAGUUUAACAAUCUUGCUCCUUAAGAACCGGUCACCAGGUCUGCUUGUACAAGUGCAACUCACUUAGAUCCACUGCUGCUUGUAUCUUUGUUGAAUCCAUAUCCAAUGCUACCAUGUGUUAGGAAGUUUAUGUUGAUAUGAAAUUCUAAUGUACUAAUUGAAUGCAGAUGUGAGAAAAGAGCACACAAUUGAGGAGGCAUAUUUGUCCACAACAUGAACUAGGGACUGGAUGCUUGGAGGGUGGAGUUGAAGCAUGUGUCAUGUUUAGCCAAGCUUUGGAAAAUGGGGGAGGAAGGUGUUGUUUUCUUGCUAAGUAAAUUAGUGUUACACUGACCUUGGUAGUGUUUCCUGGGUAAAUCCUCGGUGGGGGCAUUCGUCGCCGGAAGUGUGAUUUGUUCAUCGUCUACUACCUCCGUCCGGUGUUCGUUGUCGGAGGGCUUCUCGGCGUUCCUCGCUGUUGGGUUUGUCCCACCAAUAUUCUCAUUCAAUCUUCAACCACCGUAUGAUGUUUACUGAUCUUGAUCUUCCCCAGUCGCCAGUUCUGAAGAUUCUUCAGAUCUCACAUUAACUUCAUUCAGUCUUUAAGAAUAACCAAAGGUAUGUUGUACAAUAGCCUUCUUUAAAUAGUUUAAUCUGUGUUCUACAACUAAACAAACCUUCCAAAUGUCUCGAUAUCAUUUUCACUAAUAUGCAUCUCAAAGUUAUGGCUCAAAAAAAGACAACUGACUAGAUUGAGGAUACGUUAUGCAAGAAGGCUAUAUAUUCAAGGUAAUAUUAAACCUACUCGAGAGAGAGAGAGAGAGAGAGAGAGAGAGAGAGAGAGAGAGAGAGAGAGAGAGAGAGAGAGAGAGAUCUAGCUACUUAUAUAAACCUAUAGUCCUAAGAGCAUCUACAGCCGUUCGGCCCCCUCAGGACGCCAAAAAAGAGCGGCCUGGGGGCGAGCCGGCGCUAGAUCGGCCCCUGGGGUUCUUUUCUCCCCAACCACGCGCCCUGGUGCCACCACCCAAGGUGCUCCGUAUUCGAAAUCCAUCAUUCCCGCUCAAAGAAACAACAAACAGGCGAUCAUCGCAAUAGUUUGGCGAUUCGGUGCCACAGUUCGACGACCAAAAUAAAAAGGACACGCAGUAGUUCGGCAUACAAAAAAGGAAGGACGCGAGAGGAGUUCAUCAAACAUCGAGCUCGACCUCCGACGGCGUCGACGUCGGCGUACGCGAGCUGGGAGGAGUCGGCGCGGCUUCCAGGCUGUUCGGCGCGGCGGAGGCAUCAUCAGUGGGGCUGGGCGUCGCGGAGGCAUUGUCAUCAGCCGCCGGGCUGGGCGGCGGCGGCGGCGUCGCCGGUAUCUGGUUUAGGAUGAUGCCGUGCGCGGCCAAGAACCACGCCUUGAGCUUCUCGUCACUGCUCUGGAGCCUGUCAGCGCCACCCAUCAAGAAGGCGAGGUAGUUGUUCCUCUUAUUGGAGUCUUGAGCUUUGAGUUUCGCGGCGGCGUUGGCGCGGAGCAAGUCGAGUUUGAUGGCGCUGUUCGUCAUCAAAACAGACCACCUCGCCUUUGUUUUCACUUCUCGCUCGGCGGCCCUAGUCUUUGCGUCGGCGAUGCAGUGUUCGAUGGACUCUUGCACGCGCGCGGCUGUUGACUCGGCGUAUUUCGCCCUCUUGGCACCUUUGUUGCCGUCCGGGCGCCCGUCGGCCGCGCCCGCUGUCGACGCGUCCGGCUUGUACGUCUCUUUGGCCUUGGCGAGGGUGCGUCGAACGGCCGCCCAUUUCUCGCACUUGUCGAUCCGCUUGAAGACGUGGAGGUACUUGAAGUCUGCGUCGCUGUUGUCAUUGCGGAACAUGGAGAACAUGCGCAGUAGCUGCGCCGAGAAAAGACGCCAGUCGGCGCUCCACAUCCGCCUUCCACUCGGCGUUGGUCAUGCCGGGGGGCUUGGACAGCGGAGCCCUAGGCUUCCUUUGCUUAGGCGGGGCGGCGGCGGCGGGAUCCGUCUCGGCGCGCGGCAUCACGUACUUCUUUGGCGGCAUGGCGGGCGGAAGGGCAGGGUGGAGGCGGGGGUUUGGCGGGAGGAAUGGAGAAGAGAGGGGGGUGGGGGCGGGAGGAAACGGCGGGAAAAGUCUUCCAGUCGCCGACAGAGCGGCCCCAUGCCGCUUUUCGCUUCUGCCGGCGCGCCCAGGCUACACCGGGCCACUUGGGUUCGGGGCGGGAUCGCCGGCUCUGGAUUUCGCCCAAACCGGCGCUAAACGAGAUCCUGGGGCGCGACUGGGCCGAUUUUUGGCCACCGGCGCUAAAAAUUCGCUUGGGGGGCUGUCGGGGGCGCGGCUGGAGAUGCUCUAAGGAAACUACUCACACAUGGUCAUCAGAGAAAGAGAGAGAGUUCAUCAGAGACAUGUAUACUCUAGGUUUUCUAGUUUUCUAGACAAGAGAGGGAGACGUGAGAGUGUUCUUAAAAGAAGUGUGAGAGAACUUGUGUGUCAGGGAGAGCUUUUUAUUUUUAUAGGCCAAAUCGUGCAGCAUGUGUGAGAGGGCGAGAGCGCGUGAAAAAGAGAGAGAGCGUGAGAUAGAGAGCAUGCAUGUGAUAUAAUCGGGUGAGAGAUGUCCAACAAUCCUCCAGUGUUCACAUGGGCACAAAAACUAAGCCAGGUAAUUAGAACGGUCAGUUCUGACAUGCACAAGGCCAGCGCACCAAUCUCUAGGUUUUGAAAUGGCUGGAUAUACAAGUGCAUGUAGCGGGGCUGCAGCGAUCCAUAUAGCAACUACUUUCCCUUUGGAUGCCCUAUUCGUGAUAUAUUUCUUUUAUACAUUGUUUUAUGUACAUUUUUGCAAGCUUGCGUGGGCUAUGCGGGGCACCUUUUCUGUAAUGUAAAUUCAUAUAUGCCACAUUUUUUUGGUAACGACCAGUAACUACAAAGAACUAUUUUAGUAAGUAACAGAUUUUGACACAAAUUCUAUGGUAGUAAUGACAUUCUGAAUCUUUCCCCAAAGCCAUCCACAUACAAUGGAUCCAGAUUUUAUACUAUCUAUAGAGACUGAAUUGUGUUUACAUAAUGGUGAAAACACAAGGAUAUAUAUUACAAAGCUCUUUUUGGCAGCAAGUAAUUAAGGAUUAAUACCUGCUAGCUGUACUUUGCUGGUGACAACUUUACCUGUAGAAAGCAACNNNNNNNNNNNNNNNNNNNNNNNNNNNNNNNNNNNNNNNNNNNNNNNNNNNNNNNNNNNNNNNNNNNNNNNNNNNNNNNNNNNNNNNNNNNNNNNNNNNNNNNNNNNNNNNNNNNNNNNNNNNNNNNNNNNNNNNNNNNNNNNNNNNNNNNNNNNNNNNNNNNNNNNNNNNNNNNNNNNNNNNNNNNNNNNNNNNNNNNNNNNNNNNNNNNNNNNNNNNNNNNNNNNNNNNNNNNNNNNNNNNNNNNNNNNNNNNNNNNNNNNNNNNNNNNNNNNNNNNNNNNNNNNNNUCUUCCUCUACACACUCCAACCUUGCUCUCAUAUCAGUAGGAAAAACAAAUCAUCCCAGGGCUCCCUACCAAGCAUCUCCCCAUUCUACGCUCCGGAAACCAGGUUUGCUUUCAUCUACCUUCCUUGAAUAUAUUCUCCUCAUCCCAUUUCUGCUUCCUCAUUUCAUUAACUUGUUGGUAACUAGGGCAAGAUGGAUCUACGUGUUGAAAAAGCAGAAGAUUCGAGUGAUUCGAGUGAAAGAACUAUCAGCAAUAGUUCUAUGGAGAUCGCAUACUGUGGCGGACAAGCCCAGGAUGACGACCUGGAAGCAGAUUCUGCUAUGGUAUUAACUGUUGUCGGAUGGAAGGAAGCAAGAUCUGACGGGCAUGGUUAUACCGAUGGCCUUCAGAUUGAUUCUGCCUCCCCUGCUGGGAGGGCUGUUGUCAGCUCUGAAUCUUUACCAGUGGCACAACCCAGAGACUACAUAGAUAUACCUCUCCCUCAGUGGCUGAAAGAUAUAGAUUCAGGAGCAGGGUUG
rnacentral:lncRNA from 1 species